GACUGUGAGCGGAGGCCCCCGGCAGGCCUCCCUAGCGCCCCCUAACCCUAGUUGUCGCCCUCUAACAAUCUAGUAUCGGAGAGCUUGGGUUUCGAUCAGCAACCAUAACAAUCUGGUAUCGGAGAGCUUGGGUUUCGAUCUACACCGCAUGGCUUCUGCUGCCAAUUUUGUCACACCGUCGGCCCCAACACUGUCGACAUCCACAUGGGCAGUCACUGCGCCCACGGCACUGUCGUCGAUGCAGCCAUCACCAUCUCCAUGGGCGACGCCACUAGGGGAAGACACGGAUCAGCCAUCACCAUUCUCCAUCGAUGGUGGAUGUCAAGGACCUCCCGACCUAGGGUAGCUGGCCCCUGACUACGGAGUUCGUAGCCACGGUCCGUCGUCGCCGGUGAGAUUUUUCCCCUCAGCCGUCGGCUUGUUUAGAGAGAGAGAGAGAUUAGGAAAUAAUAAUCUUGCUUCCUUUAUUCCCUGCUGCCAUGUGGCUUAUAAAUAGACCUAUGGCUAACCAAUUUCUCCUAUAAACUCUCAACUAACUCCUAUUUUCUUGGACUUAUCUGCUGCCAACUAACUCUCCACAAUUCUCUCAUCUCAAUCUUAUUCUCUAGCCUUAUCUUUAUUUCUAAAUCUAUCCACUGGUUGUGGCCUCUCCUGUGCGUGUUUAGCGCGCUCUGCAGCGCGGCGUGCGUCACGGUGGCGCCUAUAUGUGCGCCCGCACAUGACAUCUCUCCCCCCCUCGAGACCCAGCUCGUCCUCGAGCUGAAAGUCUGGGUACUUGCUGCGGAAUUCGUCGAGGUCUCCCCAGGAAGCAGACUCGACCGGUUCGCCCCUCCAGUGGACGAGAACUUGACGCACGCCUCGCGCCAAGCGUGCCUGAGUAACCUGCAGCGGUUCAGGGACCACGGCGUCGUUGUGGAUGAUUGGUAAGGCAGGCGGGGACGCUGGUGGAACGCCGACAAACUUCUUGAGGACACCCACGUGGAACACAUCAUGGAGGCGCGCCCCUGGCGGCAAGGCCAGGCGAACGGCGACGUCGUUGAUGAGCUCAACGACGCGGUAGGGCCCCACAAAGCGAGGCUUGAGCUUGCCCGCGGUGGUCCUAGGCAUUGAAGAAGCUGCCCGCUGCCGAAGACGAAGGAGGGCCCAAUCCCCCGGCUGGUAGGAGACUUGACGGUGGUGCCGAUCGUAGUAAAGCUUCUGGGUCGCCUGGGCCUGCUCUAGGCGGUACCGGACCUCCUCCAGGAAGGUCUCCCGAGCCUCCAUGUCCCGGGCGACGGCUACCACCCUCGUCUCCCCCGGCUCAUAAGAGCGGAUGGAAGGUGGCUCUCGGCCAUACACCACCCGAAACGGUGUGUCCCGAAGCGAAGUCUGGUACGCGGUGUUGUAGGUGUACUCAGCCCACGGCAACCAGCGCAGCCAUUGGCGGGGGCGAUCUCCAGUGAAGCAGUGCAGGUACAUCACUAUGACUCGGUUGGUGGCUUCCGUCUGGCCGUCCGACUGGGGAUGAAAAGCGGAUGUCAUGUGAAGCUUAGUACCCAUAAGCCUCAUGAGCUCCUGCCAGAACAUCGAGGUGAACACGGGGUCGCGGUCGGAGACGAUGGACUGCGGAACGUCGUGGAGGCGCACAAUGUCGGUGAAGAAUGCCUGUGCCACCGUCUCUGCCGUGUACGGGUGCGCGAGUGGAAUGAAGUGGCAGUACUUGCUGAAGCGGUCAACCACGGACAGGAUCACCGUCUUCCCAUUCACGCGGGGUAGCGCCUCCACAAAGUCCAGCGCGAUGUCGGCCCAGACCGCCGAGGGCACGGGUAGAGGCAAGAGCAACCCUGCUGGAUGGAGAUGCUCGGACUUGUACCGCUGAAAAGUGGAGCACGCCCGCACAAAUUCCUGCACCAAGCGUCGCAUGUUGGGGAAAUGGAAAUCACGGCGGAGCCGGUGCAGUGUACGGUGGACGCCCUCAUUCCCGUCGCCGUGGACGGCCUCCAAAAUUUCUUGCAGUAGUGGAGAGGCGGGGGGAAUGUAUAGGCGCCUCUCGUAGGCGACCAUGUCGUCGACGACCGACCAGGGCGCGGUGCGGGUGCCUCGGCGCACCUCGUCGUGGAUGGCCACCAGUGCCAGAUCGGUAGCCUGGGCGUGACGCAGGCGGCCGAUGAAGUUAAGCGCGGCGUAGAAAUGGCCAACACGGCGCCCUCCUCAGUGUCACGGCGGGAGAGGGCGUCGGCCACCGUGUUCGUGGAGCCUGACCGGUACUCGACGGAGAAGUCGAACCCCAGCAACUUGCCGACCCAAUGGUGCUGCGGAAUCGUGGCGAGGCGCUGGUCGAGCAAGUACUUGAGACUAUAGUGGUCCGUCUUGACGGUGAAACGCCGAGAGGGCGUCGGCCAUCGUGUUCGUGGAGCCUGACCGGUACUCGACGGAGAAGUCGAACCCCAGCAACUUGCCGACCCAAUGGUGCUGCGAAAUCGUGGCGAGGCGCUGGUCGAGCAAGUACUUGAGACUAUAGUGGUCCGUCUUGACGGUGAAACGCCGCCCCCAAAGGUAUGGCCGCCAGUGGCGAACGGCCUAGACCAGGCCGAUGAGCUCCCGCUCAUAAGCUGCGAGGGAGCAGUGACGUGGAGCCACCGACCGACUGAAGAAAGCGAUGGGGUGGCCCUCCUAGACGAGCACCGCGCCGAAGCCGUACGUCGAAGCGUCGCACCCUACGACGAACUGCUUGGUGAAGUCAGGGAGCGACAGUACGGGUGCGGAUGUCACGGCCUCCUUGAGAGUACUGAAGGCCGCCGCUGCGUCGUCGUUCCAUCGGAACCCCUCCUUUUUCAGGAGAGCGGUGAGGGGGGCUGCGAUGAUGCCAUAGUUGUGGACGAAUUUCCUAUAGUAGCCUGCGAGCCCGAGGAAUCCACGCGCCGCCCUGGCCGAGCGCGGUUGCGGCCAAUCACGGAUGGCCUGCACCUUGGUCGGAUCCAUGGCCACGCCCGACGCCGAGAUGGUGUGGCCGAGGUAGGCGACGGUGUCCACGCCAAAAGCGCACUUGGAACGCUUAACAAAGAGACGGUGCUGUCGGAGCACCGAGAGGACGACGCGGAGGUGGCGCAAGUGGUCCGCCCAGGAUGAGCUGUAGAUCAGAAUGUCGUCAAAGAAUACAAGCACAAACCGACGGAGGUAAGCGCGCAGCACGUCGUUCAUGAGAGCUUGGAAGGUGGCCGACGCGUUGCAGAGUCCGAAAGGCAUGACCAAAAAUUCGAAGGUGUCAUGCGUCCGGAAUGCUGUCUUGUCGAUGUCGGCCGGCCUCAUGCGGACUUGGUGGUAUCCAGAUCGGAGGUCGAGCUUGGUGAAGAAGCUGGCGCCAUGGAGCUCGUCCAGCUAGGGCUGGGCAUUUAAACCCGAGAACCGAACCCGAACCCGAAUAGACCGAAUUGGUCGGUUUUUCGGGUUUCGGUUUUCGGGUUCGAUCCACAUAUCGUAUCUAUUCGGUUAUCGGGUUAGGGUUCGGUUUUUGUAUCAUGUAACCCGAAUAAACCAAAAAAACCGAACACAGAUUGCUCACCAGCCAGCCCAAUAGCUACUUGGCCCACUUAGCCAGCCACGGCCCAGUCUUUCCUUCCUCCCUCCGGUCCGCAGGCGCCCAACCGCCCAACCCUAGAGCUUCUGCACUGCUCGGCCGCCGCCUGCCGCAGCCCGCCGCCCCGCCGUCCGCCUGGACUCCACUGCUCGGUCGCCGCCCCGCCGUCCACUGCUCCCGGCGUCCUGCGUGGGCGCGGCUGGGCAAGCUCCAUGGCGGACUGCUACUGCGUGGGCGGCAUACUGCUCCUGCGUGAGCGAGCGGGCGUACUGCUACUGCGUGGGCGCGGCCGAGUCCCUUUCUGUCCGCGCCAUGGAGCUUUCUGUCCAGCAGGCAGCAGCAGCUCCAGCUUUCACAGUGUCCCGGCGUCCUGCAUGGGCGGCGUACUGCUACAAUUUACAUCACGAGCCAAGCUCCCAGCGUCCUGCGUGGGCGGCGUACUGCUACUGCUCCAGCUUUCCAAGCUCCAACUCCGGCGUCCGCUCCCAGCACCUGAUUGUGUUAUUCGGGUUCUAUAGGAACCGAAUAGACCGAACCGAAUUUUUCGGUCUAUUAGGGUUCGAUUCCUGGAAUUAUGGGUUCGGCUUCGGUUCCUAUUUUACAGAACCCGAAUUUUGUAGAACCCGAAUAACCCGAACCGAAUUACCCAUAUUACCUGAAUGCCCAGUCCUACGUCCAGCAGCUCGUCGACGACCGGGAUGGGGAACGCAUCCUUGAUGGUAUGGCGUUCAGCGCGCGGUAGUCGACGCAGAACCGCCACGAGCCGUCCGGUUUCUUAACCAAGAGCACCGGGGACGAAAACGCAGAGCUGUUGCGCCGAAUGAGCCCCUGGUCCAGCAUAGCUGUGCACUGACGCUCCAGUUCGUCCUUGUGCAGGGCGGGGUAGCGAUACGGGCGUACUGCCACUGGCGGCACCCCCGGCACCAGGGUGAUGUUGUGGUCCCAACUGCGUGGGGGAGGUAGGCCGCAAGGCUCACUGAAAACGUCGUUGAAGUCCGCCAAGAGCUCGUCGAGGAGCGUACUGGUGGCGGUGGUUGUGCUGACAGCAGCCGGUCGGCAGGCCGCGAGCCCCUGCCAGCAGAACCCCCUGCCCUGGAAGGUGAAGGAGAUCGUGUGGUUGCUGAAAUCCCACAUGAUCGGUCCCAGCGCUGCCAGCCAUCGGGUGCCCAGGACCACGUCGUAGCCCGCCAAAGGCAUGACGUAUAGGUCAGCAGGGAAGCAGUGGCCGCCGAUGUCCAGUGGUGCGCUGCGGAUGACGCCCACACACGUGACGCGCUCCCCAUUCGCGACCAUGGCCGUGAGGCGUGGCCGGUGUUCGAGGGGCAGGCCCGUGCGUGCAGCCGCGGCUUCCGAUAUGAAGUUGUGGGUGCUGCCCGAAUCCAGCAUGGCGACGAGGGAGGUGGCCCCCAGCGUGACCUGCAGCUGCAUCGUGUCAGUGAGCGCCACCACGCCCGCAAGAGCUUGGAGGGAGAAUACCGGGGUCUCCUCAGUCCCGGCAUCCUCGACAGCCUCAUCUUCCUCCUCCUCAAGGCCCUCCAGUAAGAACAGUCGCUUACAGAUGCAAUUGUGGCCCCUUGUGAAUUUGUCGUCACAAUUGUAGCAGAGGCCAAGGCCAAGGCGCUCUUCUUGUUCUGCCUGCAAGAGGCGCUUGAUGGUGCGGCCUUCGACGGUAAUGGUCCCCGGCGCGGCCGGUUUGGCUCCUGGCGGCGCGGGUAGGGCCAGCCGGGCGGCAGGGGCCGGCAGUAGAGGACGCCCAGGAGCGCGCGCGGCCGGGGCGACGAAUUGCUCGCGCAACUCGAAUUGGCGCGCCAGACUCAUGGCGGCGGCCAGCGUCUGAGGAUUCUGGAUCCUGACGUCGAUGCUGAGUGGCGGCUGGAGUCCGCCGACGAAGAGUUGUACCCGUUGCGCCUCCUGGAGUGGUCCCGCGCGAGGAAGCAGGGCCUAGAACCGGUCCUGGUACUUGGCAACCGUACCGAUGCGCCUGCACUCCGCUAGUUCGGCCAACGGCGCGGAACGCAGGGGCGGCUCGUACCGAAGGUGCAGCAGCUCCGUGAAGCGGCGCCAGGAUGGCAUGCCCUCGUUCGCCUGGACCAUAAGGUACCACAUCUGUGCGCCCUCCUCAAGGUUGUAGGAGGCCAUCCAUACAUUCUCCUCCUCCAUGAUGUGCUGCUGAUGGAAAUACGGUUCGCACCGGCUGGUGAAAAUCAGUGGAUCAGAUUUCCCAUCAUAGCGGGAGAAAUCCAUCUUUUGAAAGCGCGGCGGUCGAUCAUUGUGGUGCUGCCCAUCAUUGGUCCCAUGGCCGCCUGACGAGGAGGUCUUUCCCUUCUGGAGCUCGACGACAGAGGAUUGUAGGGCGGCGACCGUCGAUGUCAGGGUCUCGAUUAUCUAGGCCAAAUCAGAGGUGGUUGGCUCGGCCAUGGUAGAGGUGGUGUCGGCGUAAGGCGGCGAGGUUGGUGGGCUUGGCUGGGAUUGCGGCUGGGUGGAAGAAGUCGAGGAACGACUGGAUCGCGAUACCAGGUUGUCAAGGACCUCCCGACCUAGGGUAGCUGGCCCCUGACUACGGAGUUCGUAGCCACGGUCCGUCGUCGCCGGUGAGGUUUUUCCCCUCAGCCGUCGGCUUGUUUAGAGAGAGAGAGAGAUUAGGAAAUAAUAAUCUUGCUUCCUUUAUUCCCUGCUGCCAUGUGGCUUAUAAAUAGCCCUAUGGGUAACCAACUUCUUCUAUAAACUCUCAACUAACUCCUAUUUUCUUGGACUUAUCUGCUGCCAACUAACUCUCCACAAUUCUCUCAUCUCAAUCUUAUUCUCUAGCCUUAUCUUUAUUUCUAAAUCUAUCCACUGGUUGUGGCCUCCUCCUGUGCGCGUUCAGCGCGCUCUGCAGCGCGGCAUGCGUCACGGCGACGCCUAUAUGUGCGCCCGCACAUGACAGUGGACUUGUGGGCCAACAUAAGGGCUAACCUCGCAAAGAUGCAAGCCUCGCUCCUGGUGGUUGAGCAGGGGUUGCUGCAAAUCAAGGCAGUGGAGCAACGUGAAUGGCAGCUGUCGUUGGCCACACAGCACCAGACGUUGGCGGUUGUGCGGCUGCAGGCUACAGCGUGUGGCCUCCUAGUGCGUCGGCGGCUGCAGUGGGUGCGCCGGCAGAUGCUCGAGGCAAUCUUGGUGGCGGUUGACCUCGGCACACAGGAGCGCGACCUCGCCCUGUCGGACGGCCAUCAGCAACCGUGUCAGCCUGCUGUCUCCAAGUGCGAGCAUGGUGCGUGUCCCGCGGGCGACGAACUUCAACUCUACGGUAGAUGCGGUAGGAAAGGUGCUCCCCUCGUCAUCGGCAAGGGUGCACUGCAAAGCGCCACCAUAUUCCGCUACCAGCCGCCACGAGGGCGCCUCCGCUGGUCAUUGUUGUGACCUACUCCAGGUGGCCAUCCAUGUGCUCCCCUUUCGUCCAUAUGGCGUCCAUGGGAUACAGGUGGCUGGCUGCACACAUGCAAGCCCAAUGCGCGUAUGUAACACCACGUCCACUCCCGAACCGACAGUACUUACUCCUAGCGGCCCUCUAGGAUCAUAGACCAUCCCCACAAACCAACACGAGUCUUUUGAGCACACUUUGUCCUUACUCAUGCGCACGCGAGAAGACUUCCUAGUCGGUCACCCAUCCCUAAAUUGCUCCAAGCUAAGCGUGCUUAACUUGGAGGUUCAUUGGAGAGGAGCUUCCGAAAAAGAAGAUGCACCUUAUUGGUAUGAGUACUCUAUUAAUUCUAUUAAGCCUUGGACCUGAAUAUCACCAUCCACCAGGGCCAGGAUAUCACAGCGGAGGGUGUCUGCCUUAUCUUAAGGGGUCAAAAAAUAAAGAGUCGCAAUCACAUUUAGAUUCGGAAUAAUAAAAUAAGUCGAGAUGUAAAAGGCUUAUUUUUAGGUGAUUAGGUUUGUGUCUAGAUGAGUCGUCAUUAGGUUGUAGCUCGAGGACGACCUGCUUGUCCAAAAGGGGUGUAGUGUCAGGGCCCAAGAGAUUAGAAGUUGGCAUUGUAGCACGCCCCUCAGGUUGUUUAGAUAAAGAUAGACUAGUUUGGGAUAAGAUUUGAAUUAGAGAUAAGAUUAGAUCUAGUGCUUAGGGGUCAAGGAACCCUCUCUAUAUAAGGAGAGGGAUUGUAUCAAUUGAAGGUAAGCACGAGAUUAGAAGGAAAUCCCUUCUCUCUUGCCGGUCGUGGGCAAAGCCCUGCGGCUGGCCUCCCCAACGUGUCCUAACCCUAGCCGCAAGUUCUCUCUCUAGAUCAGCCACGCACGCCCUGCGCCGUGCACAGCCUCCUCGCCUCCGCCGGCGACAACGCAGCUGCCACCCCCCCUCUCCCUCCCCGCUCAUGCAGCCCUAACCCAUGAACGGUACCCGUGGGUACUAUAGCGUGGGGACAACACAACCACCACCCCCUUCUCCCUCACCCAUGAAUAGUACCAUGGGUACUAUAGCGCGGGGUACUACAGCACGGAACAGUACAGUACCGGCGGAACUGUAGCACCCUCAGCCAUCCUAUCUAGGAGAUUAGUUGAGAUUAUCUAGAAAGGUUGUCAGUUAGUAGUUUGUUGAGAGUUUUUAGGAGAGUUUUAAGUAGAUAAGGAUCUAGAUAGUGGCGGUCAACCGACCUAUUUAUGUAACCAAUGGAUGAGAAAUAAAGUAAGCAAGAAUUAGAAGGGAGAAACCCCCCUCUUGCUCGGUCGUGGGCAGAGGUGUAACGCCCUGAAUUUGGGGGUAGAAUUUUUUUCUUCUUUUCCCUCACCAAAUUCAGGCGUUACCCUUUCCUUUUCUCUUUUCACCUCGCUAAACCUUGAUCUUUUCCAAAGUAUAGCGGGAUUCGGCUUGAGGUCCCAUGUAAAGCAAAACCCUAAAAUAUUUUAUUCUGUGUGAUGCACCAUGCCGAACCAUGCAUACCUUUUGAUUGUUUAAAAAUGUGAAUGCAUUCAUCUAGAGGAAAAUAGAUUUUAGAAAAAGAAAACCUUUUCCUUCUCUCCCCCCUCCUUCCCCAUUUUCGGCCCAGCCCCCCCCCCUUCCCUUCCCGCCGUGGGCCGCCUGGCGGCCCAGCCGCGCCCCCCCCCCCACCCCCUUUGGGCCCAGCCGGCCCAACCGCCCCCUCCCCUUUUCUUUUUUCCAAAAAUCCCCUCCCCGCGGGCCCCGCUCGUCAUCCCCUCUCUCUCUCUCUCCCUCACCCUAACCCUAGCCGUCGUCGCCCCGUCCUGCCCCCGCGCUGCCGCCGCCCCUCCCCGGCGUCGCCGCCGCGCCGGCCUCCCUCUCCGGUGAGGUUUCUCCCUCCCCCCUCCCUCCUCUCCUCCCCUCCCUCCUCCUUCCCUCCCGUCGGCGUCCCCCGCCCCCGCGCCAUGGGCGCGCCCGCCUCGGCCCCGGCGAGCUCGGCCUCGGCCCCGACCCCGGCCGCCCCGGCCUCGCCCGCACCCGGCCGGCCCCGCGCCCGGCCGCCCUCUUCGCGCCGCCCCCGGCUAUCCCCGGCCCGGCCGCCCCCGGCUCGACCGCCCUCGGCCCCUCGCGCCCGGCCGCCCGCUUGGCCGCCCGCCCCUCGCCGCCGCUCGGCCGCCCCGCCCACCCCCGGCCCCGGCGCGCCUCGCUCCGGCGAGCCCGCCCCUCGCCGCGCCCCGGCUGCCCCGGCUCGGCCGCCCUAGCGCCCCCUAACCCUAGUUGUCGCCCUCUAACAAUCUAGUAUCGGAGAGCUUGGGUUUCGAUCAGCAACCAUAACAAUCUGGUAUCGGAGAGCUUGGGUUUCGAUCUACACCGCAUGGCUUCUGCUGCCAAUUUUGUCACACCGUCGGCCCCAACACUGUCGACAUCCACAUGGGCAGUCACUGCGCCCACGGCACUGUCGUCGAUGCAGCCAUCACCAUCUCCAUGGGCGACGCCACUAGGGGAAGCCACGGAUCAGCCAUCACCAUUCUCCAUCGAUGGUGGAUGUCAAGGACCUCCCGACCUAGGGUAGCUGGCCCCUGACUACGGAGUUCGUAGCCACGGUCCGUCGUCGCCGGUGAGAUUUUUUCCCUCAGCCGUCGGCUUGUUUAGAGAGAGAGAGAGAGAUUAGGAAAUAAUAAUCUUGCUUCCUUUAUUCCCUGCUGCCAUGUGGCUUAUAAAUAGACCUAUGGCUAACCAAUUUCUCCUAUAAACUCUCAACUAACUCCUAUUUUCUUGGACUUAUCUGCUACCAACUAACUCUCCACAAUUCUCUCAUCUCAAUCUUAUUCUCUAGCCUUAUCUUUAUUUCUAAAUCUAUCCACUGGUUGUGGCCUCCUCCUGUGCGCGUUUAGCGCGCUCUGCAGCGCGGCGUGCGUCACGGUGGCGCCUAUAUGUGCGCCCGCACAUGACAUCUCUCCCCCCCUCGAGACCCAGCUCGUCCUCGAGCUGAAAGUCUGGGUACUUGCUGCGGAAUUCGUCGAGGUCUCCCCAGGAAGCAGACUCGACCGGUUCGCCCCUCCAGUGGACGAGAACUUGACGCACGCCUCGCGCCAAGCGUGCCUGAGUAACCUGCAGCGGUUCAGGGACC
rnacentral:lncRNA from 1 species